rnacentral:rRNA from 1 species
AGAGUUUGAUCCUGGCUCAGGAUGAACGCUGGCGACGUGCCUAACACAUGCAAGUCGAACGGUCGCAAGACAGUGGCGGACGGGUGAGGAACACGUAGCUGACCUGCCCCAGAGUGCGGGAUAACGUCACGAAAGCGACGCUAAUACCGCAUAACCUCGCGAGGAUUAGAAGCUGGCGAGCAAAGGUUAACUGCUCUGGGAGGGGGCUGCGGCCCAUCAGGUAGUUGGUGCGGUAACGGCGCACCAAGCCAACGACGGGUCGGGGGUCUGAGAGGACGACCCCCCACACUGGGACUGAGACACGGCCCAGACUCCUACGGGAGGCAGCAGUGAGGGAUAUUGCGCAAUGGGGGAAACCCUGACGCAGCGACGUCGCGUGGGCGAAGAAGGCCUUCGGGUUGUAAAGCCCUUUUCUGGGUGACGAGAGAGGGCGGUAGCCCAGGAAUAAGUCUCGGCUAACUACGUGCCAGCAGCCGCGGUAAAACGUAGGAGGCGAGCGUUAUCCGGAGUUACUGGGCGUAAAGCGCGCGCAGGCGGUUGGAUA